ensembl:lncRNA
GGGAAAGGAGAUUGUUGGGGCGAUAUUAAAGAAACUGAGACUUCACCAGCGAGUCUGGGAAGGCUGUUUUGUGGAAUGAGCGAUGUGGGCAGUUGUAAUUGCUUCUUUUUUGCCUCUAGCUAUGUUAAACACACACAGUCUCUUCAUGGGGGAGGAAUGUCAGCAGCUGGGAAUGCUGAAGCUGCAGGGAACUAAGUGUUUCCUGGGACUAAUUUGUGGGGUGGAGCCCUGAGACACCCAUGUUGAAGAGGCUGGAGUCCAUUUUGGAUUGAAGGGACUUGGCUUCUAGAAAAGAAUGUCUGAACUGAGUUGGCAAACUUAUAGCUUGAGGACUUAUAGCCUGAGGACCUGCUGACUGGGUUUUGUGUGACAGUUCCCAGCUGUCUUACUUUUGUGCUGUGUCAUAAGAACAGCGUGGUCCAAACAGGGUGAUUGUUCGGCUUGAGUCCUGGAAGAAGAAAACACACGAAGCAGAGUGAUAUCAACCAACCUACUACCACACAA